UGGGAUGUAACUCAGUGGCAGGGCGCUUGCCUGGCAUGCAUGAAGUCCUGGGUUCCAUCCCCAGCACCAUUA
rnacentral:tRNA from 1 species